rnacentral:rRNA from 1 species
UUGAACGCUGGCGGCAUGCUUUACACAUGCAAGUCGAACGGUAACAGGCCUUCGGGUGCUGACGAGUGGCGAACGGGUGAGUAAUGCAUCGGAACGUACCCAGAGGUGGGGGAUAACGCAGCGAAAGCUGUGCUAAUACCGCAUGUGAUCUGAGGAUGAAAGCGGGGGACCGAGCAGCAAUGUUUGGCCUCGCGCCUUUGGAGCGGCCGAUGUCGGAUUAGCUAGUUGGUGGGGUAAAGGCCUACCAAGGCGACGAUCCGUAGCUGGUCUGAGAGGACGACCAGCCACACUGGGACUGAGACACGGCCCAGACUCCUACGGGAGGCAGCAGUGGGGAAUUUUGGACAAUGGGCGCAAGCCUGAUCCAGCAAUGCCGCGUGCGGGAAGAAGGCCUUCGGGUUGUAAACCGCUUUUGGCAGGAACGAAACGGUGUCCGCUAAUACCGGGCGCUAAUGACGGUACCUGCAGAAUAAGCACCGGCUAACUACGU